AACGAGCGCUGGCGGCAUGCCUAACACAUGCAAGUCGAACGAGACCUUCGGGUCUAGUGGCGCACGGGUGCGUAACGCGUGGGAACCUGCCCUUAGGUUCGGAAUAACUCCCCGAAAGGGGUGCUAAUACCGGAUAAUGUCUUCGGACCAAAGAUUUAUCGCCUUUGGAUGGGCCCGCGUUGGAUUAGCUAGUUGGUAGGGUAAAAGCCUACCAAGGCGACGAUCCAUAGCUGGUCUGAGAGGAUGAUCAGCCACACUGGGACUGAGACACGGCCCAGACUCCUACGGGAGGCAGCAGUGGGGAAUAUUGGACAAUGGGCGAAAGCCUGAUCCAGCAAUGCCGCGUGAGUGAUGAAGGCCUUAGGGUUGUAAAGCUCCUUUACCCGGGAUGAUAAUGACAGUACCGGGAGAAUAAGCGCCGGCUAACUCCGUG
rnacentral:rRNA from 1 species